rnacentral:misc_RNA from 1 species
CCAGAGAUGGAUUGGUGCCUUCGGGAACUCAAACACAGGUGCUGCAGGGCUGUCGUCAGCUCGUGUCGUGAGAUGUUGGGUUAAGUCCCGUAACGAGCGCAACCCUUGUCCUUAGUUACCAGCACCUCGGGUGGGCACUCUAAGGAGACUGCCGGUGACAAACCGGAGGAAGGUGGGGAUGACGUCAAGUCAUCAGGGCCCUUACGGCCAGGGCUACACACGUGCUACAAUGGUCGGUACAAAGGGUUGCCAAGCCGCGAGGUGGAGCUAAUCCCAUAAAACCGAUCGUAGUCCGGAUCGCAGUCUGCAACUCGACUGCGUGAAGUCGGAAUCGCUAGUAAUCGUGAAUCAGAAUGUCACGGUGAAUACGUUCCCGGGCCUUGUACACACCGCCCGUCACACCAGGGGAGUGGGUUGCUCCAGAAGUAGCUAGUCUAACCGCAGGGGGGACGGUUACCACGGAGUGAUUCAUGACUGGGGUGAAGUCGUAACAAGGUAGCCGUAGGGGAACCUGCGGCUGGAUCACCUCCUUAAUCGAAGAUCUCAGCUUCUUCAUAAGCUCCCACACGAAUUGCUUGAUUCACUGGUUAGACGAUUGGGUCUGUAGCUCAGUUGGUUAGAGCGCACCCCUGAUAAGGGUGAGGUCGGCAGUUCGAAUCUGCCCACACCCACCAAUUGUUGGUGUGCUGCGUGAUCCGAUACGGGGCCAUAGCUCAGCUGGGAGAGCGCCUGCUUUGCACG